ACCUACCGCUGCCAACCUACCUACCGCUGCCAACCUACCUACCGCUGCCAACCUAUCUAUCGCUGCUAAUCUAUCGCUGCUAAUCUAUCACUGCUAAUCUAUCGCUGCUAAUCUAUCGCCGCCAACCUACCUACCGCUGCCAACCUACCUACCGCUGCCAACCUAUCUAUCGCUGCUAAUCUAUCGCUGCUAAUCUAUCGCCGCCAACCUACCUACCGCUGCCAACCUACCUACCGCUGCCAACCUAUCUAUCGCUGCUAAUCUAUCGCUGCUAAUCUAUCGCCGCCAACCUACCUACCGCUGCCAACCUACCUACCGCUGCCAACCUAUCUAUCGCUGCUAAUCUAUCGCUGCUAAUCUAUCGCCGCCAACCUACC
rnacentral:sRNA from 2 species